rnacentral:tRNA from 4 species
GCAGGGGUCGCCUAGCUUGGUCAAAGGCGCCAGAUUCAGGGUCUGGUCUCGUAGGAGUUCGUGGGUUCGAAUCCCUCCCCCUGCA